UUGAGAGUGAAUACUGGCUCGACAACACGUACAUAAGGACCGAUCUGUGGACUUCUGUUAAAGGCCUUGACUGUUCCCGCUAUGCGUUUGACCGCAUUCAAAUAAAUUGAGAAGCGAGUACGA